GAUGAACGCUGGCGGCAGGCUUAACACAUGCAAGUCGAACGCCCCGCAAGGGGAGUGGCAGACGGGUGAGUAACGCGUGGGAAUCUACCCAGAUCUACGGAACAACAGUUGGAAACGACUGCUAAUACCGUAUACGCCCUACGGGGGAAAGAUUUAUCGGAUUUGGAUGAGCCCGCGUAAGAUUAGCUAGUUGGUGAGGUAAUGGCUCACCAGGGCGACGAUCUUUAGCUGGUCUGAGAGGAUGAUCAGCCACACUGGGACUGAGACACGGCCCAGACUCCUACGGGAGGCAGCAGUGGGGAAUAUUGGACAAUGGGCGCAAGCCUGAUCCAGCCAUGCCGCGUGAGUGAUGAAGGCCUUAGGGUUGUAAAGCUCUUUCACCGAUGAAGAUAAUGACGGUAGUCGGAGAAGAAGCCCCGGCUAACUUCGUGCCAGCCGCCGCUGUAA
rnacentral:rRNA from 1 species